rnacentral:rRNA from 1 species
CAGUAGCCACGGUAAUACGUAGGGUGCGAGCGUUAAUCGGAAUUACUGGGCGUAAAGCGUGCGCAGGCGGUUAUGUAAGACAGUUGUGAAAUCCCCGGGCUCAACCUGGGAAUGGCAAUGGAUACUGGCAAGCUAGAGUGUGUCAGAGGAUGGUGGAAUUCCCGGUGUAGCGGUGAAAUGCGUAGAGAUCGGGAGGAACAUCAGUGGCGAAGGCGGCCAUCUGGGCCAACACUGACACUGAGGCACGAAAGCGUGGGGAGCAAACAGGAUUAGAUACCCCCGUAGUCCCUGUCUCUUAUAC